GAAUUUGGGACAAUGGGCGAAAGCCUGAUCCAGCAAUGCCGCGUGCAGUAUGAAGGCCUUCGGGUUGUAAACUCCUUUUGUACGGAACGAAAAGCUUUGGGUUAAUACCCUGAAGUCAUGACGGUACCGUAAGACUACACACCGCGUGACUACAUGCCAGCAACCGCGGUAAUACGUAGGGUGCAAGCGUUAAUCGGAAUUACUGGGCGUAAAGCGUGCGGAGGCGGUUUUGUAAGACAGAGGUGAAAUCCCCGGGCUCAACCUGGGAACUGCCUUUGUGACUGCAAGGCUAGAGUACGGCAGAGGGGGGUGGAAUUCCGCGUGUAGCAGUGAAAUGCGUAGAUAUGCGGAGGAACACCGAUGGCGAAGGCAACCCCCUGGGCCUGUACUGACGCUCAUGCACGAAAGCGUGGGGAGCAAAC
rnacentral:rRNA from 1 species